AUACGUAGGUGGCGAGCGUUGUCCGGAAUUACUGGGUGUAAAGGGAGUGUAGGCGGGAAGGCAAGUCAGAAGUGAAAAUUAUGGGCUUAACCCAUAACCUGCUUUUGAAACUGUUUUUCUUGAGUGAGGCAGAGGCAAGCGGAAUUCCUAGUGUAGCGGUGAAAUGCGUAGAUAUUAGGAGGAACACCAGUGGCGAAGGCGGCUUGCUGGGCCUUUACUGACGCUGAGGCUCGAAAGCGUGGGGAGC
rnacentral:rRNA from 1 species